AGCGAACGCUGGCGGCAGGCCUAACACAUGCAAGUCGAACGAAGUCUUCGGACUUAGUGGCGGACGGGUGAGUAACACGUGGGAACGUGCCUUUAGGUUCGGAAUAACUCAGGGAAACUUGUGCUAAUACCGAAUAUGCCCUUCGGGGGAAAGAUUUAUCGCCAUUGGAGCGGCCCGCGUCUGAUUAGCUAGUUGGUGAGGUAAAGGCUCACCAAGGCGACGAUCAGUAGCUGGUCUGAGAGGAUGAUCAGCCACAUUGGGACUGAGACACGGCCCAAGCUCCUACGGGAGGCAGCAGUGGGGAAUCUUGCGCAAUGGGCGAAAGCCUGACGCAGCCAUGCCGCGUGAAUGAUGAAGGUCUUAGGAUUGUAAAAUUCUUUCACCGGGGACGAUAAUGACGGUACCCGGAGAAGAAGCCCCGGCUAACUUCGUGCCAGCAGCCGCCGUAA
rnacentral:rRNA from 1 species